rfam:Schistosoma margrebowiei strain Zambia genome assembly, scaffold: SMRZ_contig0006171
AUCCAGCCGACGAGUCCUAAACGGGACGAAAUGCACAUCUAAUAU